CACACACACACUUCCUGACUCUAAAGAAAAGGAAGCAGAGUUUUUCGUCACGGUGAAAUCCUACCAAAAGACAAGAAUUUGGACCAUCUUUAACCCCCCUGAUGUGGGCAUGAAUGAGGACAAACAUGAUACUGAACACAUGCAAUGUCUGCAUGUUUAACUCAGAUUUUGGGAA